rnacentral:rRNA from 1 species
CCUACGGGUGGCAGCAGUGAGGAAUAUUGGUCAAUGGGCGCAAGCCUGAACCAGCCAAGUCGCGUGAGGGAUGACGGUCCUAUGGAUUGUAAACCCUUUUUGUCGGGGAGCAAGGCCCGCCACGUGUGGCGGGAAGGAGAGUACCCGAAGAAAAAGCAUCCGCUAACUCCGUGCCAGCAGCCGCGGUAAUACGGUGGAUGCGAGCGUUAUCCGGAUUUAAUGGGUUUAAAGGGAGCGUAGGUGGCAUGUUAAGUCAGUUGUGAAAGUUUGCGGCUUAACCAUAAAAUUGCAGUUGAAACGGGCAGUCGUGAGUACAGUAGAGGUGAGCGGAAUUCGUGGUGUAGCGGUGAAAUGCUUAGAUAUCACGAAGAACUCCGAUGGCGAAGGCAGCUCACUGGACUGCAACUGACACUGAUGCUCGAAAGUGUGGGUAUCAAACAGGAUUAGAUACCCCAGUAGUC